GCUUCGGUGGUUUAGUGGUUAGAGCGUCAGCUUCAGAUGUGGGAGGUAGUGGGUUCGAACCCUCGUCGAGUCA